rnacentral:rRNA from 1 species
GACGAACGCUGGCGGCGUGCUUAACACAUGCAGGUCGAACGAAGAGCGAUGGAAGCUUGCUUCUAUCAAUCUUAGUGGCGAACGGGUGAGUAACGCGUAAUCAACCUGCCCUUCAGAGGGGGACAACAGUUGGAAACGACUGCUAAUACCGCAUACGAUCUGACCUCGGCAUCGAGGAUAGAUGAAAGGUGGCCUCUACAUGUAAGCUAUCACUGAAGGAGGGGAUUGCGUCUGAUUAGCUAGUUGGAGGGGUAACGGCCCACCAAGGCGAUGAUCAGUAGCCGGUCUGAGAGGAUGAACGGCCACAUUGGGACUGAGACACGGCCCAGACUCCUACGGGAGGCAGCAGUGGGGAAUCUUCCGCAAUGGACGAAAGUCUGACGGAGCAACGCCGCGUGAGUGAUGACGGCCUUCGGGUUGUAAAGCUCUGUUAAUCGGGACGAAAGGCCUUUUUGCGAAUAGUGAGAAGGAUUGACGGUACCGGAAUAGAAAGCCACGGCUAACUACGUG